CUUGGGCUCCCCCAAUUACCAGGUCAAGGAUACUCCUUUCAUAGCUUUCGAACAAACACAUACAAACUGAGCUUUAUUGAGAGUCCCUUUGGGAUUAAGGUCAAGGAUGCUCUUUUCAUAGCUUUCGAACAAACACAUACAAACAGAUCUUUAUGGAGAGUCCCUCGGAGAUUAAGUGUUGAAUGAGGAAAUCUUGGAUUCCCCCCGUUACCAGGUCAAGUACAUACAAACUGGGCUUUAUGGAGAGUCCCUUUGGGAUUAAGUGCUGAAUGAGGAAAUCUUGGAUUCCCCCCAUUACCAGGUCAAGUACAUACAAACUGAGGUUUAUGCAGAGUCUCUCUGAGAUUAAGGAAAUCUUGGGUUCCCCCCAUUACCAAGUCAAGGAUGCUCUUUUCAUAACUUUCGAACAAAC